AAAGCAAUUUCAGCGGCACAUACAAAAGAUUCUUCAAAUAGGUAAUUUAGGAAUGUUUCUUUUGAUUAUCUUGCAUAAAGGAAAAGGAGAUCAUAUUUUGAAAGCUCUUACAACGAUUACCACCCUCCCUAACUGAUGCAAACUGGUUCUCAGCAGCACUGACUGGAACUAUCUAAGUACUCUAUGAAAAAGUAAGAGUUAGUUUAGCAUAAUCAGAUAAAAUGACUGGGACUUACGAAUCCUCAAAGUCCGAUAAAGAACCAAGUUCAUACGGAAAUCUAUAUUACACGAGGUUCAGUUUUUUGUAUGUAUAAUGAAUUAUUAUUUUAAAAAACAUAUUAGUGUCCGAUAGUUUACAAUUGUUUGCUAGUCGGUCUCUUAAAGAGAAGGGCAUAAACUUCUGCCGACAUUGUUAAACAAGCAACAAAACUUCCCCUCAGAAAUGUUAAACGAUAAAAAAAGGAAACCUCUGGAAUUAUAUAAAAAAUAGCUCUCUCUCUUCUCGUUACGUGACAUUCUUUAAGGGUGUAUAUUGAACCUUCGGAAAAAUUGCUCUCAUAAGGAAGUGAUACAUGUCAAACGU